GACGAACGCUGGCGGCGUGCUUAACACAUGCAAGUCGAACGGAAAGGCCCUGCUUUUGUGGGGUGCUCGAGUGGCGAACGGGUGAGUAACACGUGAGUAACCUGCCCUUGACUUUGGGAUAACUUCAGGAAACUGGGGCUAAUACCGGAUAGGAGCUCCUGCUGCAUGGUGGGGGUUGGAAAGUUUCGGCGGUUGGGGAUGGACUCGCGGCUUAUCAGCUUGUUGGUGGGGUAGUGGCUUACCAAGGCUUUCACGGGUAGCCGGCCUGAGAGGGUGACCGGCCCAAAUGGGAUGGGAGACGCGCCAAAACCCCACGGGGAGGCAGGAGGGGGGAAUAUUGAAAAAGGGGCGGAAGCCUGAUGCAGAAACGCCGGGGGGGGGAGGAGGGCCUUGGGGUUGGAAACCGCUUUCGCCUGUGACGAAGGGGGGGGGAGGGGAAUGGGGAAAGAAGCACCGGCUAAUUACGG
rnacentral:rRNA from 1 species